rnacentral:ncRNA from 1 species
AUAUCGGCUAUGACCGGGAAUAGUACAAAAGUCCUUUGUCUUCAGAAAACAGGUGGUUGAUGCGAGCCUUGGCAAACCUUUUGGAACCUGCCCCGAAAGCUCCGCAGGGAAAAUGCGGCGUAUUCCGGCGUUAACGGAUUUCGAGCGGACAGCAUUCGCUGUCAAGGAGGGUGGCACCGCCAAUGAUACCUUGGUCCCUUUG